rnacentral:rRNA from 1 species
UUCCAGACUCCUACGGGAGGCAGCAGUGAGGAAUAUUGGUCAAUGGGCGCGAGCCUGAAUCAGCCAAGUCGCGUGAGGGAUGACGGUCCUACGGAUUGUAAACCUCUUUUGCCGGGGAGCAAGCGUGCGUUCGUGAACGCGCGUCGAGAGUACCCGGAGAAAAAGCAUCGGCUAACUCCGUGCCAGCAGCCGCGGUAAUACGGAGGAUGCGAGCGUUAUCCGGAUUUAUUGGGUUUAAAGGGUGCGUAGGCGGACGCUUAAGUCAGGGGUAAAAUGGCGGGGCUCAACCUCGUCGAGCCGUUGAAACUGGGUGCCUUGAGUGGGCGAGAAGUACGCGGAAUGCGUGGUGUAGCGGUGAAAUGCAUAGAUAUCACGCAGAACUCCGAUUGCGAAGGCAGCGUACCGGCGCCCAACUGACGCUGAGGCACGAAAGCGUGGGUAUCGAACAGGAUUAGAUACCCGGGUAC